AGUCAACAUGCCCAGAGGACGUGGAUAACCUCGGGAAACUGAGGAUAAACCGCGAUAGGUCAUAAUAUCUGGAAUGAUUUAUGGUUUAAAUCUAUAUGGCCUCUGGAUUGGACUGCGGCCGAUCAGGCUGUUGGUGAGGUAAUGGCCCACCAAACCUAAAACCGGUACGGGCUCUGAGAGGAGAAGCCCGGAGAUGGGCACUGAGACAAGGGCCCAGGCCCUAUGGGGCGCAGCAGGCGCGAAAACUCUGCAAUAAGCGAAAGCUUGACAGGGUUAUCCUGAGUGAUUUCCGCUAAGGAAAUCUUUUGGCACCUCUAAAAAUGGUGCAGAAUAAGGGGUGGGCAAGCCUGGUGUCAGCCGCCGCGGUAAUACCAGCACCCCGAGUGGUCGGGACGAUUAUUGGGCCUAAAGCAUCCGUAGCCGGUUCUACAAGUCUUCCGUUAAAUCCACCUGCUUAACAGAUGGGCUGCGGAGGAUACUAUGGAGCUAGGAGGCGGGAGAGGCAAGCGGUACUUAGUGGGUAGGGGUAAAAUCCGUUGAUCCAUUGAAGACCACCAGUGGCGAAGGCGGCUUGCCAGAACGCACUCGACGGUGAGGGAUGAAAGCUGGGGGAGCAAACCGGAUUAGAUACCCGGGUAGUCCCAGCUGUAAACGAUGCAGACUCGGUGAUGAAUAGGCUUCGUGCCUAUUCAGUGCCGCAGGGAAGCCGUUAAGUCUGCCGCCUGGGGAGUACGGUCGCAAGACUGAAACUUAA
rnacentral:rRNA from 1 species